UACGAAGGGAGCUAGCGUUGUUCGGAAUUACUGGGCGUAAAGGGCGCGUAGGCGGCUUCGAUAGUCGGGUGUGAAAUGCCUGGGCUUAACCCAGGAAUGGCACUCGAAACUUCGAGGCUUGAGUGUGGGAGAGGAUAGUGGAAUUCCCAGUGUAGAGGUGAAAUUCGUAGAUAUUGGGAAGAACACCAGCGGCGAAGGCGGCUAUCUGGACCACAACUGACGCUGAGGCGCGAAAGCGUGGGGAGCAAACAGG
rnacentral:rRNA from 1 species